UGUACUGUGUGUGCUGUGCCAUGAUCAUCUGCAUCCGUAGCCGGAUUCUGGAGGGGGAUUUCUCCGACACCAUGAGGACACUACAGAACUACCCAGAUGGAGACAUCCACGUCGUGUUGAGGAAAGCUGUGGAGAUCUGUCCGUCUUGAGACAUGCUGCAUCUUAGACACACGUCUUAGACACGUCCCCUGCAGACACGCCCCUUUCUUAGCCCAUCUUGAUAUCUACCUUUUCUAAGACAUGUUCCUGGGGCCUUCAGUCUAGAGACAUGGCCUCUUAUACCAGAAAGUUUCUGCCAUCUUUAUCACUGUAAGAUCUUCUACAUCUAAGACUCCUUCCCAUGCCGUUAAGGCUCCUUACCGUGUCUCCUCCAGCCCACCAGGAAGGGCCCAGAUUAUCAACCUGGUUUAUGUCUGUUCACCUUUUAAGUUUUAUCAUCUUCAAACAUUUUUAUCAUUCUUUUAUCUAAACAGCAGAAGCUGUGGGAUUUUGGAAGUUUUUUAGGUCCAAAUAAAGUGGAUAGAUUUAAUGAUACAAUA